rnacentral:rRNA from 1 species
UACGUAGGGUGCAAGCGUUGUCCGGAAUUAUUGGGCGUAAAGGGCUCGUAGGCGGUCUGUCACGUCGGGAGUGAAAACUCAGGGCUUAACCCUGAGCCUGCUUCCGAUACGGGCAAACUAGAGGUAUGCAGGGGAGAACGGAAUUCCUGGUGUAGCGGUGAAAUGCGCAGAUAUCAGGAGGAACACCGGUGGCGAAGGCGGUUCUCUGGGCAUUACCUGACGCUGAGGAGCGAAAGUGUGGGGAGCGAACAGG